rnacentral:rRNA from 1 species
CUGACGCAGCGACGCCGCGUGAGCGAAGAAGGCCUUCGGGUCGUAAAGCUCUGUUGUUAGGGAAGAACAAGUACGAGAGUAACUGCUCGUACCUUGACGGUACCUAACCAGAAAGCCACGGCUAACUACGUGCCAGCAGCCGCGGUAAUACGUAGGUGGCAAGCGUUGUCCGGAAUUAUUGGGCGUAAAGCGCGCGCAGGUGGUUCUUUAAGUCUGAUGUGAAAGCCCACGGCUCAACCGUGGAGGGUCAUUGGAAACUGGGGAACUUGAGUGCAGAAGAGGAAAGUGGAAUUCCAAGUGUAGCGGUGAAAUGCGUAGAGAUUUGGAGGAACACCAGUGGCGAAGGCGACUUUCUGGUCUGUAACUGACACUGAGGCGCGAAAGCGUGGGGAGCAAGCAGGAUUAGAUACCCUGGUAGUCCACGCCGUAAACGAUGAGUGCUAAGUGUUAGGGGGUUUCCGCCCCUUAGUGCUGCAGCUAACGCAUUAAGCACUCCGCCUGGGGAGUACGGCCGCAAGGCUGAAACUCAAAGGAAUUGACGGGGGCCCGCACAAGCGGUGGAGCAUGUGGUUUAAUUCGAAGCAACGCGAAGAACCUUACCAGGUCUUGACAUCCUCUGACAACCCUAGAGAUAGGGCGUUCCCCUUCGGGGGACAGAGUGACAGGUGGUGCAUGGUUGUCGUCAGCUCGUGUCGUGAGAUGUUGGGUUAAGUCCCGCAACGAGCGCAACCCUUGUCCUUAGUUGCC